ACAGCAGUCGCCGCGGUAAAACGUAGGGGGCAGGCGUUAUCCGGAAUUACUGGGUGUAAAGGGAGCGUAGACGGUUAAACAAGUCUGAAGUGAAAUGCCGGGGCUCAACCCCGGAGCUGCUUUGGGAACUGUAGAACUGGAGUGUCGGAGGGGUAAGCGGAAUUCCCAGUGUAGCGGUGAAAUGCGUAGAUAUUGGGAGGAACACCGGCGGCGAAGGCGGCUUACUGGACGACAACUGACGUUGAGGCUCGAAGGCGUGGGUAGCAAACAGGAUUAGAUACCCCUGUAGUCCCUGUCUCUUAUAC
rnacentral:rRNA from 1 species